AUGGACCCUGGGAAUGGUUUUCUUGCUGCUAAGCUAACUGAUGAUCUGGUGGUGGAGAUCCUCUCCUGGCUGCCUUUCAAGUCUUUUUGCCGCUUCAAAUGUGUUUGCAAGGCCUGGCUUGCCUUAUCCUCUGAUCCGCAAUACUGCAAGAAGCUUCUGAAAAUUACAACAGGUCUUCUCUACCAACGACGUUAUCACUCUGCUAUUAAGCUCGCUAGCCUGCCCCACAAUGAUAAGGAUUUUGAUGAAGCUCUUAGUUUCCUACCACAGUAUGAGCAAUUAGAGCUGAUGGACUCUUGCAAUGGCCUAGUCCUUUGUAAGUACAAGAACAACUAUACUCCUCAAGGUAUUUGCCGCUUUAUCGUGUGCAAUCCGGCAACACGAGAGUGGAAGAUACUCCCUGACACUCCUCUUAGCCAUUAUGACCCUUUUUACAAUAUGAGUAUUCUGGCCUUCAGCACAUCAUGGUCGGCAAACUUCUACGUCUUCAACUUUCAGCGGCUGAGUACCCUUCGUUUGGGAUUUGGCCCUGUCAAACUUCAGGUGUUCUCGUUUGAUCUUUCCUCUUGGUUUCUGGAUGAUGCAUCAUGGCUCUCUGAGACAAUGGUUUCUCAACCACACCUGUUUAUUGAUGGAGCACUGUAUGUGCGGACAGAUUUGCAUGAGAUUAUGGUACUGAAGAGCUUGGAGGAAACUAGUUCUGGCAUUCUACCCUCUCUUCGGACUAUUGAGUUGCCGCAUGAAGAUGUUGGUUUUAUUGCUAGGUUUGGCCAAUGUUGCUUCGGCCAAUCUUCGGGGGCCUUGCAUUACGCAUUGCCAGAGGAGGAUGCUCGUACAAUUCUUGUUUGGGGUCUUGAUGUUGAUGAGCCUUAUGAGUGGAGCCUCAAGUACCGCCUCAGUAUGAGCCAUGCAUUCGGAAGGGACAACCUUUGUCAGUAUGACUCACAUUCCUGGAAAUGUGACUAUGAGGUCAUCGCUCUUGACCUGGAGAACGAUGGUCUUGUCCUAUUUGAUGAACGGGCAGAUAAGCUUCAUUUGUACAAUAUAAGAACCGGUGAACUUAACGUGAUUCAACCAGAUAACCACCGCUGCCGCAGUUUGGAAGACGAAUACUACCAUUAUGUGGCAUCCUACUCAAAGCUCCCUGCUUUAACCAUGUAG
rnacentral:rRNA from 1 species